UUCAGACUCAGCGUAUUAAAGUACGUAGGAAUCACCUUCCAUAAGUUGAGCUUUGUUUUCGGAUGCAGGCGCACAGUGCAGUGCCAAUGGAAAUAAGUCAAAUUUUCAAACGUAUAAAAUGAAAAAAGUAAUGAGAUAUACGAAAAAAGGGGAAAUUGGUGGUAUCAUUUUCAAUGUUCGUUUACUGAUUUGCAUCGAAUUGGCGUGAGAGGAAGUGAUGAGAUUUAAGCUCCGCGCGCGGUGACCGGUAGACGAUGACGCGCAAGUGUUGUGAUAGCAGUGAUCAAGGCUGAUUGACACGGUAUCAAAUGUCCAGUUGGUGAUAAAAAUGGCUACAAACACUCCUAAUUCUGAAUUUUAAAGUCCCAUCUGCGUCUGGCUGCGAAUAAUAAAGUUAUAUCGUUUUUCCUGUCUCGAGGUCUUGCUCUGAAAAACUCUGAUCUCUUCGACUUAUGGACACGGAUAUCGAAGGAGGAGUGAGUUACAACAAUUGAGGGGAAACUCCGAGAACAAUCCGCAAACCAACGUGUCUUGGACGAAAAUUGGACAAAAUUUUUUGUAUUUUUUAUGGAUUUUUUGUAUUUUUUAAGGAUUUUUUGUUUUUAUCUUUCUUUUUUCUCUUGUCUCUUGUGAAGUUUAAUUUUGCUGUUGAUUUUCGGUGAUGAUUUACCGUGCUGAAUUUUUUAUUUUUUGAAGUGCCUUUUCCUUUUUAUUAUAGACUUGUAAUAUGACCGAA